rnacentral:lncRNA from 1 species
UUGCGCCAUCGUUCAAAACUGUGAUCGUUUUUAUAGCCUGACGCCAUUUUUUUUUAGCAAUUAUAAUCAAAUGCAUGUAAUUGCAUAACCUUCAGGCUUUCUUUAUAGUAUAAUCCAGUUCUAACGCCUGAGGGAUAUCCGGAUUAAGAUCGCUAAUCACUUGUACCUGAGCUUGUACAGGUAGAUCAACAAAGCAGACAGGAUAAUAUUAUCUGAAGAUAGACAAUUCAUUUGUCGAAUUAUUUAAUUAAGUUUCCGCAAAUGCUUAUGAUAAUUCAGAUUAAAUAAAUAAAUUAAUAGUCCAGUUACAAAGUUUAACAAGUAAAACACGUGCUUUUAUUUUGACUUACGCAAUCAGCAUCCCCCUUUUUAAGAAGUACAAAAUAAGACGUAAAACAGUAAUUAUUAUUUCAUCGCAAAUAACUCGAGUACAGCUGUAUUGUAACGAUAAUAUAGAAUUACUUUAAAAGUUAAAAAGUAAAAACUUUUAAUAUUUCCUGUAAAUAAAUAUCGUAUCGUAAUUCCGAAUUCAUUUCGUAGUUUACAAUCAAAUUGAUACAUCCGCGUUUCCGGUUUCUAUUCAGACUCGAAAGAUGCAUGUUGCAUAUAGCAUCGAUUUGCUAGUUAAAGUCAUUAACAACCUUUUCAUUUGACAACGUUCGCUUUACAAAUCUUUUUAACCUUUU